rnacentral:rRNA from 1 species
AGCGCAGACGGUUGAUUAAGUCUGAUGUGAAAGCCCGGAGCUCAACUCCGGAAUGGCAUUGGAAACUGGUUAACUUGAGUGCAGUAGAGGUAAGCGGAAUUCCUAGUGUAGCGGUGAAAUGCGUAGAUAUUAGGAGGAACAUCAGUGGCGAAGGCGGCUUACUGGACUGAAACUGACACUGAGGCACGAAAGCGUGGGAGCAAACA